CAGAGUUGAAAAUAACCUCACCUACAUAAAGUGAAUUCUUUCAAAAUUAUGAUAUUACAUUGUUAUUGUAAUCUCUAUUUUUAUAUACACUGGUUUUUAUGUUUAAAAUGUUUUCAUAUGUCGUACCCAUUCACAUGAGUUUAAAACAUGAGACAUUGCGACUGCAAUUGUAUUUUCAUUUCUACUUUGCAUUUCAAUAUUUUGAGCAUUUGCGCUUCCCGUACUCCAGUCAGAACUAGUCUGCUGGAGAUUUGGGUAUGCAGUCGUCAUCGUCUAAUCUCAGUGGAUUCUUUGUUUUAUUUGUGAAUGCAGAGAAAUAAAAACAGUGAGAAGAGUUCGUGUGGAGUCAUACAUUAUCAUCACAAUUAACACCUGCACAAGAGAGGGUCGUUACA